CCUACGGGAGGCAGCAGUGGGGAAUAUUGCACAAUGGAGGAAACUCUGAUGCAGCAACGCCGCGUGAGUGAAGAAGUCUUUCGGUAUGUAAAGCUCUAUUAGCAGGGAAGAAGAUGACGGUACCCGAUUAAGAAUCCCCGGCUAACUACGUGCCAGCAGCCGCGGUAAUACGUAGGGGGCAAGCGUGAUCCGGAUUUACUGGGUGUAAAGGGAGCGCAGGCGGGAGUGCAAGUCAGGAGUGAAAGCCCGGGGGCCAACCCCGGAACUGCUCUGGAUACUGUGCGGCUAGAGUACUGGAGGGGCAGGCGGAAUGCCUAGUGUAGCGGUGAAAUGCGUAGAGAUUAGGAGGAACACCAGUGGCGAAGGCGGCCUGCUGAGCAGUAACUGACGUUGAGGCUCGAAAGCGUGGGGAGCAAACAGGAUUAGAUACCCCAGUAGUC
rnacentral:rRNA from 1 species